UUUCUUUAAUUCCACUUGUUUAAUCAAAGUAUGUGAGAAAACAAGUUCAUUUAUGUCUUUUCUUACCCAACCCACAAACCACCACUCCCCACAUAGUAUUUUACUAGAUUAUCAAUAAAUGCUUUUGCUUUACUUAUUAACACUUGAAAAUAAAUAAAAAAACACCCAUUUUUCAACAAACCAAACACUUUAGCGGAUAUGUUGUCGUUAUUAGGUUUCUGAAAAUGUGAGCAAUACUUCUUAAAAAAAUUGGGAGGGUACAUGAAAAUUUUCAGAGGCUACAUUUGCUAUGUGAUGCACCUAAGCUAUUUGAUGAAUUGCCUCUUAAUUUGCUAAAUGUUGUUCGUCUGAAACUAAAUGACUUAUGAGUUCUUGGAUGCUUUCCCCUAACUGACAGUUUGAGGGAGACAUUAUAAUCUUAAUGAAAUUAUUUUACAUUACUUGUUCUACUAUUUUCGUGCAAAGCACAAUUUUGAAUGUGGGGGUGGAGAAUUUGAUUCCCUUUGUUUUCUAUGAGGUUGCUCGAGCUUAUCUUUUCAAUUUUGCAUUUUCUUUGUGCUUUUACAUUUUGUAUAUCAUAGCUUAGUUUCUUUUCUUUUUAGUAAGUCUUGCAUAGCAGUUAGGUUUCUUGAGUUUCUUCCAAGUCAUGGUUCUUUCCCCAAGCAUUUCUUUUAUUUUUCAAACAGGUAUUUUUAAGAAUUAAUUAGUAAAACAACACCAUACCCAGUAUAAUCCCACAAAGUAUGGUUUGGAGCGCAAACCUUACCUCUAUCUCAAAGAUUGUUAGGAACUAAUUAGUAGUGAGUAAAUAAAAGAGAAGUCUUGGAGUCAAAUUAUGCUCCCUGCUCAUGACUUGUUUGAUACCCACAAACUUUUUUUUAAUCAAGAAACUACACAAAUAAUGAACCAGAUUUGAAUCUGGCCUAACAUAUAUAUCGUUAGCAGGGGCUGGCUCUUGCAUAUAAGUUGAAUGAACUACCCAUGGAUUUUUGUGUCAAAUUGAGAAAAAUGAUCUUGUUAGUGAUGCUUAGGCUCACCUCUCACGUUUUGAAUCCUUGCUCACUGAUCUUUUGUAUCAAGUGAUAUUUUCUCAGUUGUUCUUGCUAGGAGUAGGAAUUAAUCCAUCCUGAACAAUUCAUGUGCCAACUGUUGAUACAAAAGUAAAGCACGAUUUUAAUCUCUAGAAUUUGAACAGACAUGAAAACUCAGCAAUUAAACAACCAAUGCUUGUGGCCUUGACCGAGUAAUCUCAAAAUUAGACACUAACUUGUCAGUUAAAUUUUGUUGAGAGCCGAAAAUGUAGCUUCAUAUUUGAGUACUAGGGUUCUCCAUUAAAGUUGAGACUGCUUUCCAGAAUGCAGGUUUUUCUGGAUCUACUCGCUGGUUACUUAAAUCCUCUUAGCUUUCACUCCUGGCCUUUUCUCUUACUCCAUUGCAUUUCCCUUGUUAUUUCAUGUGCUUUACCUCUUAUCAUUUUCUUAAUGCUGCUUUAUAGGUUCAAGAAAAAACUUGUGGGUGAAGCCUGGUUUGUCUCAUUUGCUUGCUCUUCUCAAUAUUCUACAAGAAAAUAAAACGCUGUUUAUGGCUGUACUGGAGAAGAUAUCCGAGGUUAUUCAACAAGAUGAGUUGAUGAAGAAGGGUUUAAGAAAAUCAAUGUUGACGUUAAUGCAGGAGUGGAAUAGUUUUGAAGAGGAUUCUGACUUGACCACACAUGUUUCCAAUAUGCCUCAACGAACUGGAGGUCAGGGAGAAGCACCUGAGUUCAGUACAAGAAUCAGUGGUCGAUAGUUCUCAGAAACUUAACUUGAUCAGGGAAUCUGUGGAGCAGAGAUGGAAAGAAGUUGAGGAAAACAUGGAAGAAUUUUGUGCAAUUCAAGACAGAAAAAUCAGGGAUUUGGAACGCAACUGGAAAGACUUCAUUUUGGCCAAAGAGGAGUUUGUUGUAACUGUGAAAUUGAACGAGAAGAAGCUGAACGAGCAAGAGAAGAUGUGGGAACGUCGCGAAAUAGAAUUUGAGCAUAAGCAGCUGGAGAAUAAACUUGAACUCCAGGAGCUAUCGUCUAAUUUACUCAAGGAAGGACUCCAAUUAAGGGAGAGAAAUAGGCAACUGUCAGAAGAACUUGAUUCUAUGAAGAAGAAACUGGAUUUGGUUAACGGUGAGCUUGAACAAGAAAAGGAAAAAAACCAAACAGAACAAGGAUUAUUCAAGAAAAGAAUGAAAGAUAUAUCACUUAAUGAAACACAGGUUGAGGUAAUGGAAGAUCGGUUCAAAUUUCAAGUGCUUGAGGAAACAAAGAAUCAACUGAAAACUAUUGGUAAUGCCCCUGAAAAGACUGAGGCUAUUGACAAUGUCGAAGUGGAUAGAUUUUAUACGACCUCUACUGAUUCUGCUGAUAUAAAACUUGUUCUGACAAUGACUGGGAAGGCUUUACAGAUAUUCUUAAAUGAGCACGAGAAGAAGCCAGAUUCAAUGUCUGAUGAUGUUUUUAGGUCCCUUCAUUCGUCUCCCAACCCUGCAAUGUUGGUGCUUGAUGCAAUGGAAGGGUUCUAUCCUCCCCACUUGACGAUGAUGAAGGGAGAUACAGAGUUUGAGGGCACUGUUGUCAGGAAGACCUGCAUUCUUCUGUUAGAGCAGUUAAUUAGAUUCUCACCGAAGAUUCAACCUACUGUCCGUAAGAGAGCAAUGGAACUAGCAAGUGAGUGGAAGUUUAAAAUGACUGGGGAUCAAUUGAGAUCUUGGGUUUCUUGUAUCUGUGGGCUUCUUAUAAUCUGGUAUCUGAUUUUGACGUGGAUGAGCUUUUGAACCUGCUGGCUGUCGUAACUGAGCAUAACAAGUCAUCGGAGUUGUGUGAUCUUCUUGGUUUGACUGAGAAGAUCCCUUGCUUCAUCCAGAACCUCAUAGGCAUGGAAAAACAUCUUAAAGCUGUUAAAUUUGUUUAUGCUUUUGUGCUUGCGGAUAGUUUCCCGCCAAUACCGAUUCUGAAAGACGAUUUGAAACAAACUAUUCAGAUUUCUGACAGCAACUGUUAUGCAGAUCUGUGCUCAGUCAAAGAAAAGGUCUUUAACCACUUCUGUCACCAUGAUUAUUUCCCAUUAGAUAGAUCUUUCUUUGUAAUGCUUGAUCUUAUCUUUUGGGCACAGAAUGAAUCCAUUGAACAGAGUGUAGCUUCUAUUAGAGCUGUUAUCAAAUGCAUUAUGGAUCACGACCUUCAAUCUCAAUAUCCACCCGCACAGCUUGAAGAGUAUAUAGAAUCUCUCACAAGGCAGAAGACAGAUGUAACCACAUCUAUCAUUUCUGAGGCUCGGAAACCACAGCAGACUCAGCUGAAGCAUAUGGAAUCAACUAAUCCAUCUGUUUCUGCUGCUACCAAGGCCCUCAGUUAUACCUCAUCCACUGGAAAGGCCUCUACUUGCAUGUUAGGUCAUUCCGAUGCUAUGGCUUCUAUCCUUGUGAGCAUGGGCGGAAAGAACUUGCAGUGUUUUCUAAACAAUCAUUGGAAAGAGCAGGGUUUGUUGCGCACUGCAAUCUCUAGAGCUCUCAAAAUGUCACCUGACUCGGGGAUGCUUGUGUUGGAAGCACUUGAAGGAUUUUAUCCUCCAGAACCUCCUAGUGAAGAAAUUCUAUUGGAUCUUAGCAUUAUCAGGAAAAGUUGCAUCCUUCUACUGGAACAAUUAAUGAUACUCUCACCAAAACUUAAACCAGAAGCCAUAUUGGAAGCUCGCAAGCUUGCAUUUGACUGGAAAGCAAAGAUGAAAGCUGAAACAGAACCAUCUGGCAAUCUUGGGUUUUCUGCUGCUAGUGGGUGCCUACAGCUUGGCAACAGGAUGAUAAUGCAUAUCAGAUUUGUCAUGUACUCAGUGUUGCAGGAGAACGCCCCCAGAUUGAGAGAUCUAUUGAUCCCCCUAAAACUGAACCUCUUCAUCGUGUAUCAGAUCCUGCAAAGCUUGUCUUGGAUGCAUUGCAGAAAUGUCGUUCUGCCAACUUGGAGAAGUAUAAAUAUGACCCAUUAGUUAUGAAGAGUUUUUCUGAUUUGUUGGAGCAUCUGAGAGAUAACAAAUCAGAAAUAACACCACAGGUUAAAAUAGAGGCACUUGUGCUUUCUGUUGAGUGGCAUGAAACAUUGACCGGAUCACAGCUGAAUCCUUCAGAGGCUUUAUUGAGAAGCUGAUAAUGAGAAAUCAAUGGCUGCUGGCUGUUAGGUACAUCUAUGUGUAUAAACGUGUUCACUUGUUUCCACCUGUGCUCUCCUUAAGGACUAUGUGCUAAACGCAGAAGAGCUGGCCAAGAAAAUACAUGAUAAGGGACUCGGUUCUUGUGAGGCCAAAGAAAAGGCUAUAAAUCGUGAAAUAUCCGCAUUGAGAGCUGCAAUUAAAUGCAUUCUGCGUCACUGUCUUCAAUCAGAAUACUCACCUGACCUUCUUCGAGCUCGUAUUGCUAAGCUUCAAAGGCAGAUGGCAGACCUAAGGAUCCCAAACCAACACUCAGGCAGCGACAGAGAUGAAGGAAUUCUCUGUGCUACAAUUUCUCUUGCAGCCACAAAAAAGCAUCUUGCCUCAGCUACUGAAGGUGUUACUGUACAUGAGUCCCAACAGCAACACCGAAAACUUAAGCGCUUCUGCCAGUUACCAACGCGGACAGAAGUUGGUCAAGAGUCUAUCAUUUGCAAUGCUUCUCUGUAAUCUGAUGUGCAAACAUCUUCUCAGGUCACAUCUGCAGAUGCUCAAUCACCAAACUACUCUAAAGAUGCGUUUUGUCAGCCUUCAGAUGACCAGAUUUGUGAUUCUGGACAACCAUCUUCCCAGCUAAUUGGUAGUUCACAUGCUUAUGAUGACGCCAAGGUUGAAACUAGAGAACCGGACCUUCCAGUACAAGCAUUGUGUCAUGAAGCUGUUAGUGGAAAGUUGAGGAGUCAUAGUGAUCAAUCCGUGAUCGAUUAUAGUGUGCCACAAUCCCUGUCGCCCCAAAUAGACCCAUUUUAUCAUCCUGGACAAAAUCUGAUGCCAAAUCUUCAGGAGCUACUUAACAAGCUGAAGAAUUCUUUGUCCAGCUCAGGGAAAAGUGAAAUAGGAUCUAGUAAGAAGAGUUUGGUAGCAACUUUAUUCAAUUCUUCUCUUUGUUUAUACAAAAAAGAUCAGUAACUAUUUUAGGGAUGGCCCAGCGGCGGCUCCUGCAACACCCCAUUGCUAAGCCCAUUAUGUAUUGCUUUGAACAUUGAUACAUCACAAAAUCUCGCCUUCUUUAAAUUUUGGGUCCCGUCUCUAGAUGGCUUGAGUAGAGGGGGAAUCCAAUAGCAACUGUCUGUAGUGGUAGAUAUUUGUUAAACUGGGGCUAACUAAAAUGUUCUACCUGUUGCAAGUGUGCCACAAUCUUUGUUGCAGAUACACCCCUCUUAUUAACCGUUCCAAACCCUUAAAAGAGUCGUUUGGUAUCUAGUUAGAGUCAUGCAUAUACUAGUUUAUUGUAGGGAUUAGUUAUAUAUAUUAGUUAUUCCACCUCU